rnacentral:rRNA from 2 species
UACAGAGGGUGCGAACGUUGCUCGGAAUUACUGGGCGUAAAGCGCGUGUAGGCGGGACCGCAAGUCAGAUGUGAAAUCCCCGGGCUCAACCCAGGAACUGCAUCUGAAACUGCGGACCUUGAGUACUGGAGAGGGCGGCGGAAUUCCUGGUGUAGAGGUGAAAUUCGUAGAUAUCAGGAGGAACACCGGUGGCGAAGGCGGCCGCCUGGACAGUCACUGACGCUGAGACGCGAAAGCGUGGGGAGCAAACAGG